AACGAACGCUGGCGGCAGGCCUAACACAUGCAAGUCGAGCGCCCCGCAAGGGGAGCGGCGGACGGGUGAGUAACGCGUGGGAAUAUGCCCUUUGCUACGGAAUAGUCUCGGGAAACUGGGGGUAAUACCGUAUACGCCCUUUGGGGGAAAGAUUUAUCGGCGAAGGAUUAGCCCGCGUUGGAUUAGGUAGUUGGUGGGGUAAUGGCCUACCAAGCCGACGAUCCAUAGCUGGUUUGAGAGGAUGAUCAGCCACACUGGGACUGAGACACGGCCCAGACUCCUACGGGAGGCAGCAGUGGGGAAUCUUAGACAAUGGGGGCAACCCUGAUCUAGCCAGGCCGCGUGAGUGAUGAAGGCCUUAGGGUUGUAAAGCUCUUUCAGCUGGGAAGAUAAUGACGGUACCAGCAGAAGAAGCCCCGGCUAACUCCGUG
rnacentral:rRNA from 1 species